GUUAUGUGCCUGAUUAAAGGGUUAAUUUGAUAGAUUAAAUAAUGAAGAUAUU
rnacentral:tRNA from 1 species